UACGUAGGGUGCAAGCGUUGUCCGGAAUUAUUGGGCGUAAAGAGCUCGUAGGCGGUCUGUCGCGUCUGCUGUGAAAACUCGGGGCUUAACCCCGGGCCUGCAGUGGGUACGGGCAGACUAGAGUGCGGUAGGGGAGACUGGAAUUCCUGGUGUAGCGGUGAAAUGCGCAGAUAUCAGGAGGAACACCGGUGGCGAAGGCGGGUCUCCGGGCCGUAACUGACGCUGAGGAGCGAAAGCAUGGGGAGCGAACAGG
rnacentral:rRNA from 1 species